AUAACAACAGCAUAGUGAUUUUCUUUUUCUAUUAUGGUUGUUCGAGUUUCUCCCUGGACUGUCAGCCCCUUGAAGGUUGGGAUUGAACUUGAUCAUCUCUGCACUCCCAAUAUCUUCUUUGCUGAAUCAGAAUAAGCAUUGAAACCCCAGCAACACAGCAGGCAGUGAACAAAUAACGCUAGACUAUAUGAAUCACUUUAGGACCUGCCUGGAAUCGUGAUGGGGAGUCCCCACACGCAUCAUCCACCCACACUUUGCUGCUUUCCUGGGUCAAUAGCUCUACCCCAGCAGCCUUGAUCAUCAAUGCCAACCUAUGGUGAGGCACAGAAGUCAUGCUUUUAUAGCAAGAUUGGGCUAGGCUUUCCUGGAUAUGGUAGUUGUCUUCGGUUCUUACCCUCUUCAGUGUGAGUCAAAUUUCCUUUCUCAUUUUCAAUAAAUGUCAACUGUCAGUUGCCCAGCUACAAAGCUCUGAAUGGAAAGUGUCAACUCCCCAUAUCCCCAAUGCAAAUAUUGGUAUUUAUCUUGUGCUGGGAACCAGUAUUCAAGGCUUUAUAGCCUGUAGGUUUGAUUUCACUCCCACACACUCAAGAAAGUCAGGUCACUGCAUAUAAAACCGUAUUACAGAUGUGAAACAUGGGUCCUAAAGGGGUUAUGUGACCCAUAAAAGGUCACGCAGCUAAUCAACAGAUAGAGAUAGGGACUUAUGAAAUAAAUUCAGGAAUUACUCCCCAACAUCACAGCCCCUCUCCCAUCCCACUGUGUGGCCUCUAGCAAGUCACCUACAGUCUAGCCUCUCCUCUCCCCCAAACUGCUCUGAAGCAUCCCAGACAAGAGACUAUUCAGCAAAGGCUUUAUUUCCCCUCUAUUCUGCAUAGUAAUAUGAAAAAAUCUUACAAAGGCUAUCUGUGCAGCCUGUGGUCAGAAGCUUCUUAUUUUGGAGUCAAAAUAGAAACAGUUCAUCCCCUGGCCACCUGAAUAAUAAUGCAGAGCCAGUCUCAUCUGCCACUACUCCCUCUUAUGUCCUCUAUUUCUCUCCUGAAAAGGCUCUUUCUUUGGUAACUGUUUGAUUAUGAAAUUAUUGUUGUGGAAGAGGCUGGAAAAGACGGGUCUGGAGAUGGGAGCCAGUCACGUGGCUGGAGGCCUGUGACAUUGGAAAGAAGUCAGCCAAAACACAUCCCAGGCUGAUAAAAUGCCAAGGACUUUUUAAGGGAGUCUAAUCUUAAUGUUCCAUCCAUCCUGUCAAGGCAUAAACAAGCACACGCAUACCAACCACAGAGCAUUUUGGGAUCCACUUACUUCAGUCAUUCUGCUCCAGUGGAACUCUGGCCAGUGUAUGAAAAUAAAAGUUCCAGAACUGGACCCAACAGGGUGGAGCAAUGUGGGGAAGGAACCAUGGAGUGAUGAUUGGACAGAGUGCCUUAUCCCUCCAGCCCCUACUGAGGUUCUUGGGACAACAAUAAUGAACUUGUACAUGAUGGUUAGGGC
ensembl:lncRNA